rnacentral:lncRNA from 1 species
UUGAACAGUGCGGCAUACUCCAGUGCAAUUAAUCAAAAUAAGAGGAAAGAGGCUGUUCCUCGCCACUCUGGUGAAAGCAACCCUGAUACUAAAUUGGCUAAAGCAAUUGUACCCAGCAAUUUGGAUAUGAUUAGAAGUUUGGAUAGCAAGGCAGCAAAACAAGGGAAGAAAACUGAUGCACUGUCAUUUCUUCGGAAUCCUCAAAUGACUUCACUUCUUCAGCUAAGAGAUAUUGCUUUAUCUGGUGGAAUUGAUCUGAACAAAUCAGUUCCAAGAGCAGUUCGCACAUCAGCAGUUCGAUCUUUGAACUCAUCUAGGGCCGUUUCCCCUUUCUCUCGCAAGCCUAGUCCACCACGUUCAACCACACCAGUCCCAACAACUCAUGGCCUUUCUAUUGCUAAAACUGCUGCUGACAGUCUUGCAAAAACUAACGAGAUGUUAAAUCAAGAGGUUGAAAGACUCCGUGCACAGGUAUUGAGGUUGAUUUAUAUGCAAGUACGUACCUUUGUGUUGUUACGCGGACAAACAAUAAAAUUUGUGCACCUUUUUAGGUUGAUAAUCUGAGGCACCGCUGUGAACUUCAAGAACUUGAGUUGCAGAAAUCAGCAAAGAAAGUACAAGAGGCCAUGACACUGGUUUCAGAGGAAUCUGCAAAGUCUAAAGCUGCUAAGGAAGUCAUAAAGUCCCUAACAGCACAGGUAAUACCGACUGGCGUAGUACAUUUAUGCCUUCCUAGCGAUAAUGUUGCUUUCCCGUCGUAUUCAUUGCAAAUAAAUAUAAUUAGCUAUUAAGAUUCCCAAGACACUUUCUUCAUGCAAACGGUAUUCUGGUGCUGGUUUGAUUCUGUCAACAAUCAUAUUAACAGAAGGCGUAUAUUUCCUAUUGCAAGAACAGCAAUGGCUUCAUGUCAGCAAAUUACACAUUCAGAAAAAUGCAGUACUUAUAUAUCUGACCCAAAAUAAAUUUGUGUACUCUGUACCUAGCUUGUCAAAAUAUCGAUGCGAGCUUAUUUUAUCCUGGCAAAGUGCCAACUUUCUUUGGUUGUUUAACUGAGAUUGCUUUCUCUGGUGAUUGUUGCAUGUACCUUUUGCUGUGGCUUGUUUAGCUCAAGGAUAUGGCUGAAAGACUACCUCCAGAUCAGGGAGCCUAUGAUGGCAGUGAAGCCAAACAAGUGCACGUUCCCAAUGGCAUCGAGAUGUAUGCUUCUAUUUACACUAGCAUGAAUGGUAUUCAUCAGCCACGAAAUGAGUCUGUCAGUGCUGUCAGCACACCGAGCCUGAAUAUGGGACGAGCGUUGCAUCCAAAUGGAAUCUCAAGUCAACAUAAAUCACCAGGAAGUAUUAGUGAAAAUAGCGAAGUGAGUGCUCACAGCCAUAGGGUUUCAGGCCCUCCCGACGCUGAAAAGUUGAAUAGAAGGGGACAUAUCAGUAGUGAUGAGAUGCUGAGUGCAAGCAGUAGAGCAGAUGAUAGCAGCAGCCAGGAUGGUAGGUCCCUUUUUAAUGGUGAGGAUGGCUACAAAUCUCGAAGCGUGGUAUCAAUUCCCAGCAACCAAGUCCAGGCUGAGUGGAUUGAGCAGUAUGAGCCAGGUGUAUACAUAACACUGACAACUCUUCGUGAUGGGACCCGAGAUCUAAAGCGCGUACGUUUCAGGUAAACAAUUGUCUUCCGCCUUCUUUCUUAGUGCUGCCAAGGUUAUUUCUUUUUGUUUAUUUCAUUUAUAAUUAGAUGCAUUACUAGUCGACUAAAUUAGUAAAAAUUGGAUUUGACAAAUCACCUUAUAGCUGGAAUGUAGCGCUGCAGAUCACCUCUGUUAGCAUAGAGCAGGCACAGUAUGUAGAACACAAUAUAGAAGUCUGUUUCCCCAUAAAGAGUAUCAAAUGGCACAAAAACUUAACCAAUCAAUUGACCCAGCGGUAUGAAAUGGCACAAAAUAUAGUGGAUCUUGUCAUGAACCAUGAAAGGGUUUCUUGCUUCUGUGCACACCUGUUUGCACUUAGCAGCGACUAAUUUGCCACUGUCUUUCUUCCUCGUGUCAUAAAUUUUCUGUGCAGUCGAAGGCGGUUUGGGGAGCAUCAAGCAGAGAGCUGGUGGAAUGAGAACCGCGACAAGGUGUACGAGAAGUACAACGUAAGGAGCUCCGAGCGAGUCUCGUCGGCAUCCUCAAUCCGGUCAGCUCGAUGACCUGCUACUUCCUGGCAGUUGCCGGAGGGGGAGGGUACGAAGCGCCAAAGCCCGUCGUGGCAAGGCCUUGAGAAAUUCUUUUUGGCCGUGUAAUGUCGAUAAUUCUUGUUACUACUUAUUGUUUUGAGAUUUGAGUCAUAUAAUUAUCCGUCCAAGGGCUGGUUAGCUAGCCCUGUUCCGAUGUAAUGUACAUAGAGCUGUGGUGCAGACUAGCAGAGGGAGGAACAGCCCAUUGGUCUUUGUUGUAGCCAAUGCAGGUGUAA